rnacentral:rRNA from 1 species
GACGUAGGGCGCAAGCGUUGUCCGGAUUUAUUGGGCGUAAAGAGCUCGUAGGCGGCUUGUCGCGUCGACUGUGAAAACCCGCGGCUCAACCGCGGGCCUGCAGUCGAUACGGGCAGGCUAGAGUCCGGAAGAGGCGAGUGGAAUUCCUGGUGUAGCGGUGGAAUGCGCAGAUAUCAGGAGGAACACCAACGGCGAAGGCAGCUCGCUGGGACGGUACUGACGCUGAGGCGCGAAAGCGUGGGGAGCGAACAGG